GAGGAGCUGCAGGAGCACGAGGAACAUCUACGCGUGACUUUGGACCUUCUCCGCGAGCAUCAGCUGUUCGCCAAGGCCUCCAAGUGCUCGUUUGCACAAACUAGCAUCGAGUACUUGGGCCAUAUCAUCUCCAAGGACGGCGUGGCAACGGACCCCAGCAAGACCAGUGCGAUGAACGCAUGGCCCGUUCCCACAAGCCAAACUGAGCUGCGCGUCUUCCUCGGCUUAACUGGCUACUACCGCAAGUUCGUCCCCCACUACGGCAUCAUGGCCAAGCCCCUGACACAGCUGCUCACCAAGAAAGGGUUUGAGUGGAACGAGAAGGCCCAGGACGCAUUCGUCAUGCUCAAGAAGGCGAUGGUGAGCACACCCGUGCUCGCACUACCGGACUGUGCGCGCCCGUUCACCAUCGAGACUGAUGCCUGUGACACUGGCAUGGGCGCGGUGCUCAUGCAAGAUGGUCACCCCAUGGCCUACCUCAGCAAGGCUUUGGGCGUGCGCAAUCAGAAGCUUUCAACCUACAAAAAAUAA
rnacentral:rRNA from 1 species